rnacentral:rRNA from 1 species
ACGGGAGGCAGCAGUGGGGAAUAUUGCACAAUGGGCGCACGCCUGACGCAGCGAUGCCGCGUGAGGGAAGAAGGUUUUCGGAUUGUAAACCUCUGUCAUCGGGGACGAUAAUGACUGUACUCGAGAAGGAAGCUCCGGCUAACUACGUGCCAGCAGCCGCGGUAAUACGUAGGGAGCGAGCGUUAUCCGGAAUUACUGGGUGUAAAGGGAGUGUAGGCGGGACUGUAAGUCAGAUGUGAAAUAUACCGGCUCAACUGGUAGACUGCAUUUGAAACUGCGGGUCUUGAGUGAAGUAGAGGUAAGCGGAAUGCCUAGUGUAGCGGUGAAAUGCGUAGAUAUUAGGAGGAACAUCAGUGGCGAAGGCGGCUUACUGGGCUUUAACUGACGCUGAGGCUCGAAAGCGUGGGGAGCAAACAGGAUUAGAUACCCUGGUA